rnacentral:rRNA from 1 species
CAGCAGCCGCGGGAAUACGUAGGGCGCAAGCGUUAUCCGGAAUUAUUGGGCGUAAAGAGCUCGUAGGCGGUUUGUCGCGUCUGCCGUGAAAGUCCGGGGCUCAACCCCGGAUCUGCGGUGGGUACGGGCAGACUAGAGUGAUGUAGGGGAGACUGGAAUUCCUGGUGUAGCGGUGAAAUGCGCAGAUAUCAGGAGGAACACCGAUGGCGAAGGCAGGUCUCUGGGCAUUAACUGACGCUGAGGAGCGAAAGCAUGGGGAGCGAACAGGAUUAGAGACCCCUGUAGUCCCUGUCUCUUAUAA